rnacentral:rRNA from 1 species
UAUGUUAAUAGCAUAUUCAUUUGACGUUAGCUGCAGAAGAAGCACCGGCUAACUCCGUGCCAGCAGCCGCGGUAAUACGGAGGUGCGAGCGUUAAUCGGAAUUACUGGGCGUAAAGCGCAUGCAGGUGGUUUGUUAAGUCAGAUGUGAAAGACCCGGGGCGUCAACCUCGGAAUUGCAUUUGAAACUGGCAAACUAGAGUACUGUAGAGGGGGGUAGGAAUUUCAGGUGUAGCGGUGAAAUGCGUAGAGAUCUGAAGGAAUACCGGUGGCGAAGGCGGCCCCCUCGGACAGAUACUGACACUCAGAUGCGAAAGCGUGGGGAGCAAACAGGAUUAGAUACCCUGGUAG